UUCAGGAAGAAAAAAAAUAAAUAAGAAGCCUUCAAAUGUACAGUGGAUUCCUGAACUUGGUUUAAAAUUCAUCCUCUCACUCUGAUUGCUACAGGGAGUAGAAGUGCCCAACAACAGUAAAGGAAGGAGAAUCUCAGCUGGGGAUUUCUGUCAGACUAACAUAAACAUCCUUAAGUACGAGCAACAUCCACUAAGCCUAUACCUUUGCUGUGGCAGAAUUCACCAAAUCCACCCGGGUGUGAGCCUUCCGGAGCACAUGGUGACUCCCUGAAGAGUUAGUGAAGAUUUCCACACCAUCAAGUCCCAUUUCAAUAUGAGGGCUGUCAAAGCAAAAGGCAAUACCGCGCUGGGAAUCCUGCAGUUGUACAGGGCUGUGUAUGUUUGGGAAAAACAACCUUCAUACUUUCUGUGAAAUUAUUCAGAAACAUGAAGAUCAACAGCCAGCAACAUCCCCCUGCUUCAGAAAUGCAUGGUAGACAAUGCUCCAUCCUAGCUAUGAACAAGACCUAACAAAGAACACAAUGUGCAAGCCAAAUACCAAAUGAAAGUUUAUCUUUUUUGCAGUGUUACUACACAAGUAACUCAGAUUGACUGGGGUUAAGAAGACAGAUUUUCAGGGGCUCUCUAAGAAUUAAUUUACUGAGACCAC